GACAGAGGUGCCAAGCGUUAGGCGGAAUCACUGGGCUUAAAGCGUGUGUAGGCGGAAUUGUAAGUACCUUGUGAAAUCCCAUGGCUCAACCAUGGAACUGCUCGGUAUACUGCUUUUCUUGAGCCACUUAGGGGCUACCGGAACAAAUGGUGGAGCGGUGAAAUGCGUAGAUAUCGUAAGGAAGACCAGUGGCGAAGGCGGGUCUCUGGACAGUUCCUGACGCUGAGGCACGAAGGUCAGGGGAGCAAACAGG
rnacentral:rRNA from 1 species